rnacentral:rRNA from 1 species
UACGAAGGGGGGCUAGCGUUGCUCGGAAUCACUGGGCGUAAAGGGCGUGUAGGCGGUCCGCUAAGUCUGAUGUGAAAAGCCCCGGGGCUCACCCCCCGGAAGUGCAUUGGAAACUGGCGGACUCGAGUCCCGGAGAGGAGAGUGGAAUUCUUGGUGUAGCGGUGAAAUGCGUAGAUAUCAGGAGGAACACCGGUGGCGAAGGCGGCUCUCUGGACGGUGACUGACGCUGAGACGCGAAAGCGUGGGGGAGCAAACAGG